GUCCUCGUGGAGUAAUGAAGCUCCCUCCCGUUCAUUUAAUUUGCCAUCUGUCUGAUCAGGAAUUUCAGGGAGAGUCGGUGGUUCGAACCCACCCGAGGACA